rnacentral:lncRNA from 1 species
GCCUUUACAAGGUUAUAAAGGAAGACGAUGUAUUUGUUGCUCUUCUGGCAGCAGAAUAUCUUAUUUCUUUUAUAUGGCAUGAUUUGUGGUAAUUUCUAAGUUCUCAUAUUCUUGUUCACAUCCAUUCAGAGAUUAUGGAUGAUGAUGGUUGCUGUUGCUUUCCUGGUACUUCUCUAUUUUGUGGUGGUCAAGGUUGUGGUGUAUUAUAUGUUUUCAAACAGCAUUAUGUGUGGUAAUCUUGAAUGAUAACUAUCCUACUGUGCUCUGCCUUUCCGGUUAUUUUGUGUUUCUUGAAUUUGUCUGUGCCAUGAUAUUUGAUUUUUUCCCUUUUUUUCUGUGCAGACAAUUUAGGUUCAGUAUUUUGGUAAAGUGUUUUGAUAUCUAAUUUAUAAUAGUUAUAAUAAUAUGUAUGAUGUACUAUAAAAAUGGUCUUUGCUUUUGGCAUGCAAUAUUUGUGUGCUGGUUUACUAAUAAUAAAAGAAAGUAAUAAAUAUAUUAUAAAAAUGACACUGUUUUGGCGUUAAUGUAGUAUUUAUUUGAACUUGUUACAUUUUAUGGGGUAUUGGAUCUUGUCUGCUAGGCAUUUCUCUGAUUGAUCGAGACAACCAGUCUAUGAUUAAGAAUUAUCUUGUUGUUUUGUUUGCGUCAAUUUCUAUGCUACUUGGUGUGCGAUCUCUUCCUGUGGUAAUGUCUGAGAUGGAUGGAGGGAAUGGAGCUAAAACCUUUAUGCAUAAUCAUCUGGAUUUUCUUUUCUCAAUUAUAUACUGAUUACAUAUACUUGAUGUUUGAUGUUAAAUUUUUCUCUAUGGGCUUUUGAGAUGAAUGGUGGGAAUCAAAGUAGACACC